UACUUACAUCAAAUGACUCGAAUCUUGCUCACCGACUUUUUUCCUUUUUAUCCAGGUAUAUGUAUUAUGAGUGCUUCGUUAUUACAGUAUCUCAUCUUUAAAUUUUCACGGUUUUCCAAUUUGUUUUGAUUUUUACAGGAUAUUUCGAAGAAAACCGCAAUGGCAACCAAGUGUUCGUAAUGGGCGGCCACCGGUUUACCAAAGACUACCAGAAACAGUACAAGAGUCGGUGGCGAUGCAACAAAAGAAACUACGGGUGCAAGGCUUAUGUGUUGCUGCUCGAAGAAAACAUCAUUAAAUUUACAGAACAUAACCAUACUUAGAACUUGAUUCUUGACCUGUUCUUUCAUUUUUUUAUUUAUUUAAUUGUGUUUGGUUCAAAUCUUAUUUAAAAUAUAUAAUAGGGAUGGGAUUGAGAUACAGUUUCUUUCUGACCAGUAAUAUAUGAUCACGCGCCAUAUUGCGAAAUUUUAUUGCAAAUACAUUUUUCAUACUAAACUGAAUUGACACCCUAUAAAUGAGAAUAAAAGCGCCCUCUUGACAAUGAUCAUAUAUUUCUGGUCGGGCUUUAUAUUGAUAAAUUAUAGUUUUAAAUUAACUAUUAUGAUUUUUUAAUUAUAUUUUAUUUUGACCAAAUGUGAUUGUCCACUUAUUAUUUAAUUAUUUGCGAAAUAUAAUCUUACAGUCACUUCUUAUGCCAGUCGCUGUCAAGAAUUAUUAGGUUAUUGAGCGGCAUUUUUUAACCUUUCAGAUAUAUUUUUCGUCCUGAAUCACUGUGGAAACAAGGCACUACUGUUAAAUGGCCAUAAAUUUAACAGGGCGUAUAUCAAGAAAGACAGAUCUGGUGAGAUCUCUUGGAGAUGUGGCAGAAAGGAUUUUGGCUGUCGAGCCUCCGUCAUUACCAAAGGUUACAAUUAUAUAGUUGAGGCGAAAAAUGAACAUAAUCAUUGAUUUAGACGUCAUUUAAUUAAUUCAUUUUUGUUUUCAAGAUAUCUAUGGGUUGUACUGUGGAAUAUAUUACUUACGUAACGUUAUUAAAUAUAUUUUCAUUCAUCAGUCUUCAAGCCUCAGAUGUUCAGUUUAUAAAGCUUGACCAUCACUAGACCUGCAAACAUAAGCUUGGUUAUUUGGUCCCUUUUAAGGACAUCACCCAGACCCAUAUCCAGUAACUUUCCAGUCCACAUCUGCUGGGAACAUGGUGCUGAUCCUGGAAGGCAACCGAUUUAGAAUGACUUUUAAGAACCCACGAACGGGGAAAGUUACUUGGAGGUGCAACAAGCACUGGCACGGCUGCAAGAGUACAGUGCGCACCAUUGGUGACAAAGUUGUGGACUAUCAAUCCACUCAUACACAUAUUCCUUAAUAC